GAUGAACGCUAGCGGCAGGCUUAAUACAUGCAAGUCGAGGGGUAACAUGGGUAGCAAUACCCGAUGACGACCGGCAAACGGGUGCGGAACACGUACGCAACCUUCCCAUAACUGGUGAAUAGCCUUUCGAAAGAGAGAUUAAUACACCGUAACAUAAUGAAGAGGCAUCUCUUUAUUAUUAUAGGCUUCGGCCGGUUUGGAUGGGCGUGCGCCUGAUUAGGUAGUUGGCGGGUAACGGCCCACCAAGCCUGCGAUCAGUAACUGGUGUGAGAGCACGACCAGUCACACGGGCACUGAGACACGGGCCCGACUCCUACGGGAGGCAGCAGUAAGGAAUAUUGGUCAAUGGACGAAAGUCUGAACCAGCCAUGCCGCGUGAAGGAUG
rnacentral:rRNA from 1 species